rnacentral:rRNA from 1 species
ACUGCUCAGUAACACGUGGUCAACAUACCCAGAGACGUGAUAACCUCGGGAAACUGAGGAUAAACCCGCGAUAGACCAUAAUGUCUGGAAUGAUUUAUGGUUCAAAUCUACAUGGCCUCUGGAUUGGACUGCGGCCCGAUCAGGCUGUUGGUGAGGUAAUGGCCCACCAAACCUGAAACCGGUACGGGCUCUGAGAGGAGAAGCCCGGAGAUGGGCACUGAGACAAGGGCCCAGGCCCUAUGGGGCGCAGCAGGCGCGAAAUCUUUGCAAUAGGCGAAAGCCUGACAAGGUUACUCUGAGUGAUCUCCGCUAAGGAAAUCUCUUGACACCUCUAAAAAUGGUGUAGAAUAAGGGGUGGGCAAGCCUGGUGUCAGCCGCCGCGGUAAUACCAGCACCCCGAGUGGUCGGGACGAUUAUUGGGCCUAAAGCAUCCGUAGCCGGUUCCUUAAGUCCUCCGUUAAAUCCACCUGCUUAACAGAUGGGCUGCGGAGGAUACUAUAGAGCUAGGAGGCGGGAGAGGCAAGCGGUACUCAGUGGGUAGGGGUAAAAUCCGUUGAUCCAUUGAAGACCACCAGUGGCGAAGGCGGCUUGCCAGAACGCGCUCGACGGUGAGGGAUGAAAGCUGGGGGAGCAAACCGGAUUAGAUACCCGGGUAGUCCCAGCUGUAAACGAUGCAGACUCGGUGAUGAACAGGCUUCGUGCCUGUUCAGUGCCGCAGGGAAGCCGUUAAGUCUGCCGCCUGGGGAGUACGGUCGCAAGACUGAAGCUUAAAGGAAUUGGCGGGGGAGCAC